CUUUAUCUCCAAGUCUGAGACAGAAAAUUGUCUCUCUCUCCUCUAUCUUCCCUCUCACCAUCGCAUGAAUUCAAACCCUAUCACUUUCCUUCACUAGAUGAUAAUGGGGCUUCGAGCCGUUAACACUUGUUCCCUCAUUCGCACCGCUUCUUCAACUCCUCUUUUUGCGCUUCAGUGCUGUUUUGGCCAUACCAAGACCUUGCAAUUUAGUGGUUACAUUAAAUUUGGAUUUCAGCCCAACAUAUUUCGCAGCGAGUCAUUUUACAGUC
rnacentral:misc_RNA from 1 species